AGAAGAGUGAAGAAGAGAAGAGAAGGAAGAAGAGACUUGUGUGAGAUGAAGAGAAGUAACCAGGGGGCUAGAUAAAGAAGUGGGAGGACCUUCUUGUGAAGAAAGAAGAGAAGGAAGAGGGUUAAUGUGUAAACUUUGCAGAUCAGAUCGAGGGGUCAAAAUCCCUAGCACAACCACCGACCCCCUUUGAGCCUGGCAUCUCCAUCUCUCUGCCCCUCACCACUUCUUCUCCCACCUUCGGCCGCCGUCGCGGCCAGGCCAUCGUGGCGGCGCGCCUCCGCGACUUCGCUGCUCCACCAGCGCCUUCACCCACCAGCACCACAUCAUCCAGCCACCACUCCGUCUUCGCCGCCAUCACCUUGGGCGCUCCACUUCGUCGCCGCGCCUGGCGCGCCCGACCAGACGGGUGUCUGGUUCCCCGCGCCACCUGCUGCUGCUCUCUCCCUCUCCGCUGCUCCUCCCCUCGUCUCCACUUCCUCUGCUUCUCUUCUUCUUCUCCUAACCCUGCUGUUGCUCUUCUUCUUCUUCUCUCAACGCUCCUGCUGCUCCUUCUCCUUGCAUCCCCUUGCUGUUGUUGCCUCAACCUGCUGCUUCUUCUCCAAUCCCCACGCUGCUCCUAUUCCCUUUCCUUGCUGGUGUUCCUUUACUGAAGAAAACAACCUGCUGUUGUUCUUUACUUGUUGCUGAUCCUGUACUUCUCUGAAUCCCGAACUGCUGCUUCUCUCACUCUUUUUCUUGCAAAAAUAUUGUACGAUGCCCUGUAAGAAUUGGUGAAUUGUCCAGUAUUAAAGUGGUUUAGUAAUAUUCUGUUGAUCUGCGAGUACUAGUUUAGUGGCUUGUGUAAUUUCGUUUGUGUUGUCACUCGUGUAACCUGAACCUUGGUGUAGUACCUUGUGCCCAUAUGUGUGGCUAUGUGUGUACUGUAGUUCCUGCGUCAACUAUGUUCAUGUGAAAAUAUAUAUGUUUGUGCUGUGAUAUAUAUUUGUCCCUGUCAUAUUAUCUUGUAUCUUUCCUCUGUUAGAUGUUUGAUAGUUAUAUAUGUGUCUUUGUCAUGUUAUUUUCCUUUUGUUUUAGUCUCUAAUUUCUCCUGCCUAAUAAAAUAUCAAAAAGACAACUAGUACUCUCUCCUUACUGUUUGUCAUUUUUAUUUGUCACUGUCCUUGGUUAUUUUAGGUUUAUAUUUUCUUGCGAUCAUCAUCUGAAUUUUCACCUAGCUUUAGCCUAGUAUAGUCGCUGUCGCCUAGUCCCUGUGGUGAACACGACAUCCGUAGUUUGGGGCGUAAAAACCCCGCUAUACUUUCAAUUGAUCAUUUUGGCGCCGUUGCCGGGGACUAGCGUCGAGUGACUGUGUUAGGUAAUAGACUAGGUUUUUCUUCUUUUUUAAUUUGUGCCAUAUAUUUGUGAUAUAUAUCUAACACCUAACCACUGUUCUAGUUAUCUUCUCUUUCUUUUCUUGUUCAUUUUGUAGGCUGAAUUGUCUUCUUGGAAAUGGCAUUCUACUCAGAUCAUCAUGCUUAUGUGAACAAUUGCACAAAUAGCUCGGAAAGUGUUGAAGACCUGAUAAGUAAGAUUUCCCAUCGAUUAGAUGAUUUAGCCCGGCAGCGAGGUAUUGUUUUUGAGGAUAGGCCUAGCUCUUAUGAUCCUUAUUCUAGAGGCCAUCCUUAUGUUGCUCCUACAUGCCAUAUUUGUGGAUUUCAGGGCCAUUCACCCGCUGAAUGCCAGCGUGGUUACCCUCACCCUCCGAAUUGUUUUGGUAUGAGCUUUGCUCAACAGCAUAGCUCAUGCCAAAACAAUUACACACAUGGGUGGCCUGAAAACCAGAAUAUGUCAUAUAGGAACAACAACCCUGAGAUCUCACUGUUUGCUUUUAGUAAUCAUAUGCAGGGAUUUAGGUAUGAAGGGGAGAGCAACAACUAUGCACCACAACAAUGCUAUUCACCUCCUACUCAUAUACCUCAACACCAGGAGAUGUUGCCAAUGGAGUUAAAUGAUCCUCCAUUUGGUCAACCAACACCUUCAACACAAGUUCCCACACAAGAUGACUUCGAUGAUAUAGACAAGCUCACAUUGCUUAGUCUCGAGUUCACUUGGAGUGCCGAAGAUGAUCCAAUUAGGCCGGUGAUACUAGAGGAAAUGAAGAAGAUCAAGAGUGGAAAAGAGCUAGUGGAAGAAGUAAGGAAGAUUGAGAAGAACAUCAACGCUGGCAGUACUAUCUCAUCCCUCCUUGAGCUUAGUGCUGCUGAGAUCUCUAGUCAUACAUGUGAGGUUCCAACGCCGUCACAUCCAGCUACGCAAGAUAGCAAGAGCCUUGAGGAAGAGAUACCUCAGAUUGAAGAAGAUGAACUAGAAGACGAGGAAAAAGAUGAUCCAGAGCUCAACUACCCAAGUGAUCAAGUCGAAGACCUUGAAGAUCCAAUGUAUACCCUUCCUGAAGAAGUAAAACAAGCUCCUGUAGUUGAAGAUGAAGAACCAGAAAUUCAUUUGCCCAUCGUCAUACAAGAGCGUGAUGUAGCAGGUUUAUCUAAUCCUCUUGAUGACAUGCGUCCAUAUGAAUUGUUUGCUACUACCUUGCAUUACAUGAUACCAUCACUUAAGAUUGAUUUGAAAACUCAUUUGCUUGGAUAUGAUGAUACAUACACUGUUGGUGGUAUCACUCUCAUUUAUGAUUGUGACACUUAUUCUCCUCAUGCUAGUCCUUUGCUUAAUGAAACAUAUCAUUCCAAUGCUAAUCUUGAGCUUAAUGAUAAAUAUCAUCCUCAUGUCAGUGUUGACCUUGCUGAUUUCUACCAUCCUAAACAUGUGCUUUAUAGCUAUGCUUAUGUAAUUGGAUACUCGAUGAUGACUUGGAGGGUAUUAUCCCUACCGCUUGCAUUGUCUCUUUUGUGGAGUGUUCUUUCAGGUUUUUGCUACUGCACCGUUUACUACAUGCUGACCAGGUUCGAGGUGACAUUCCUUGGGAUCCCGGUGGAUUCACGGUAUGGUGAUGAGAAGCAAAGAGCACACAUGAGGAAGAGCGAAGCUGGAGCUUGCAUGUGGAAGCAAAAGAAGAAGAGCAUCAGCUUAGAGAGUGAUCAAGCGAGUGCUACAUGAUCAAAGCCCGGUGAGCUGUUUCGUGAUCCAUUCUGAAAUUAUCAUCCAUUGAUGCUUGCUGAAUUGAAUUGCUAUUUGGACUGCAUAUACCAGUAAUGAUAUGCUUUCAAGCUAAAUUCUACCUUUGGCAUAUUGAGCUUGAUGUGAAUUAGUGUACCAUGAUUUCUGAAUGCCUUGUAAACUAGUGAUCCACAUAAUGCCUGCUUUGCUGAAAUUAGUGAGAACUAUUAGUUUUGAGUGCUCAAAUCCCUAGUACACUAGAAAACUUUGUCAUUUUCUGCAUUUACUAUGAUACACCUAGAUCACCAUGUUUAGAUGCUGAGUUUGUGCCUAAUGUGUUCCCAUUCAGAGCAAUCACUUACCACUAUGGAUUAGCAUGCUAUGUUCUCUGGAUCGGUAGCAUGUGAACUAGACAUGGAUGAGUGAUGAUUCUUGUUUUUGUUCAUUUGAAAAAUGAAAAAAAAUCUUAUAAUGAAUAAUAAGUCUGACUACCUACAGUAGCAUGUCAUGUUCCCUGGAUCGGUGGUUAGUUUGGGCAGUAAUUAAUAAAUAAAUAUGUAAUUGUCGAACCAGGUGUAUACCAUGUUCUCUGGAUCGGUGGUAUGUUCCUUUGGGGAGACAAACAUUUUUUUUAAUAAUAAUUGGUUGAGCCAGGUGUAUACCAUGUUCUCGGGAUCGGUGGUAUGUUCCUUUGGUGAGACCAAUAAAAUAAUAUGUGUGUUUCUUUCAAAUUCAAUAAGUGGUUCACAACUUCCUUUUAUUCUCGGGAUCAUGCUCUCUUUAGGAACCUUUUGGCACAGUCAGCAUUUGAACUUGCUAAUCUUCGUUUAUCAUUGCAAAAGUUUAAAAUGGUCGAGUUUAAUAGUGUCCUAUUGAUAUGUAGCACUCUUAACCAUUAAUUUUCACUAGCCAAGUCCAAAGCAUGCAUUGUUUGGAGAUCUACUUCACUUGGCAUUCUUUACUCGGUUCACUGUUCACAUUCUUGCUCUUGUCAUAUGCCUUUGCUUGAGGACAAGCAAAGAUUUAAGUGUGGGGGAACUUGAUAAGUAUAUUUCACAUAUAUAAUUUUGGUACUUAAAUAUAGCAUCUAUCGUGAUAUAUUCGUCCAUUCUUGCCAUGAUUGAUUGAAUAUUGCUUGAUAAUCAUAAAAAGGAUCAUUUACUAGUCUUUGGUCUAUCUUGCAGAAAUGUGCGCAAAGGCACUAAUAAUCGUCAAGAUUUCGUCUAUGUGGCUAUCGAGAAGAGUGAAGAAGAGAAGAGAAGGAAGAAGAGACUUGUGUGAGAUGAAGAGAAGUAACCAGGGGGCUAGAUAAAGAAGUGGGAGGACCUUCUUGUGAAGAAAGAAGAGAAGGAAGAGGGUUAAUGUGUAAACUUUGCAGGUCAGAUCAAGGGGUCAAAAUCCCUAGCGCAGCCACCGAUCCCCUUUGAGCCUGGCAUCUCCAUCUCUCUCCCCCUCACCACUUCUUCUCCCACCUCCGGCCGCCGUCGCGGCCAGGCCAUCGUGGCGGCGCGCCUCCGCGACUUCGCUGCUCCACCAUCACCCGCGCCACCAGCACCUUCACCCACCAGCACCACAUCAUCCAGCCACCACUCCGUCUUCGCCGCCAUCACCUUGGGCGCUCCACUUCGUCGCCGCGCCUGGCGCGCCCGACCAGACGGGCGUCUGGUUCCCCGCGCUACCUGCUGCUGCUCUCUCCCUCUCCGCUGCUCCUCCCCUCGUCUCCACUUCCUCUGCUUCUCUUCUUCUUCUCCUAACCCUGCUGUUGCUCUUCUUCUUCUUCUCUCAACGCUCCUGCUGCUCCUUCUCCUUGCAUCCCCUUGCUGCUGUUGCCUCAACCUGCUGCUUCUUCUCCAAUCCCCACGCUGCUCCUAUUCCCUUUCCUUGCUGGUGUUCCUUUACUGAAGAAAACAACCUGCUGUUGUUCUUUACUUGUUGCUGAUCCUGUACUUCUCUGAAUCCCGAACUGCUGCUUCUCUCUCACUCUUUUUCUUGCAAAAAUAUUGUACGAUGCCUUGUAAGAAUUGGUGAAUUGUCCAGUAUUAAAGUGGUUUAGUAAUAUUCUGUUGAUCUGCGAGUACUAGUUUAGUGGCUUGUGUAAUUUUGUUUGUGUUGUCACUCGUGUAACCUGAACCUUGGUGUAGUACCUUGUGCCCAUAUGUGUGGCUAUGUGUGUACUGUAGUUCCUGCGUCAACUAUGUUCAUGUGAAAAUAUAUAUGUUUGUGCUGUGAUAUAUAUUUGUCCCUGUCAUAUUAUCUUGUUUCUUUCCUCUGUUAGAUGUUAGAUAGUUAUAUAUGUGUCUUUGUCAUGUUAUUUUCCUUUUGUUUUAGUCUCUAAUUUCUC
rnacentral:lncRNA from 1 species